UACGAAGGGGGCGAGCGUUGUUCGGAUUUACUGGGCGUAAAGGGCGCGCAGGCGGCCGCAUUUGUCAGGCGUGAAAGCCCGGGCUUAACCUGGGAACUGCGUUUGAUACGGUGUGGCUAGAGUUCGGGAGAGGAGAGUGGAAUUCCCGGUGUUAGAGGUGAAAUUCGGUAGAUAUCGGGAGGAACACCGGUGGCGAAGGCGGCGACCUGGGUCGGAUACUGACGUGAGGUGCGAAAGCGUGGGGAGCAAACAGG
rnacentral:rRNA from 1 species